UACGUAGGGGGCAAGCGUUGUCCGGAUUUAUUGGGCGUAAAAGAGCGUGUAGGCGGCUAGGUAGGUCCGUUGUGAAAACUCGAGGCUCAACCUCGAGACGUCGAUGGAAACCAUCUGGCUAGAGUCCGGAAGAGGAGAGUGGAAUUCCUGGUGUAGCGGUGAAAUGCGCAGAUAUCAGGAAGAACACCCGUGGCGAAGGCGGCUCUCUGGUACGUGACUGACGCUGAGACGCGAAAGCGUGGGGAGCGAACAGG
rnacentral:rRNA from 1 species